AGACGGGGGGUGCUAGCGUUGUUCGGAAUUACUGGGCGUAAAGGGCGCGUAGGCGGCUCUGCGAGUCGGGCGUGAAAUCCCGGGGCUCAACGCCGGAACGGCGCUCGAUACUGCGGGGCUGGAGACCGGAAGAGGAGGGUGGAAUUCCCAGUGUAGAGGUGAAAUUCGUAGAUAUUGGGAGGAACACUGGUGGCGAAAGCGGCUCUCUGGUCCGGUUCUGACGCUGAGGCGCGAAAGCGUGGGGAGCAAACAGGAUUAGAUACCCCAGUAGUCC
rnacentral:rRNA from 1 species